rnacentral:misc_RNA from 1 species
AGUCCAAGACCACUGCUUCCAUGCAACUAUGGGGUCUCUACAAACAUUUUGCCACUCAAUCUAUUUGUUGAGAGAUCCGCUUGCUUAAAGCUUCCAAAUACUGAUUCCCAAUUGCUUGAGUCAAUUCCUGCACAGCCUAUGUCACCAACUCAAAACCAAAGAAUCAUUUUGGUUUCUUUCUUUAAGGCCUUGCUCAUGCGGUUCCUCUGCUGCCUCAAUAAAUAGAUCAAAUCAAACAACUUGACAAUAUAAUAUAUAUAUAUACCCACAAUAGAGCUACAUGCUUAUAAAGGAAAAGGACAACAAAAGUACAGCUGGCAAAGAUCAUCAAUAUUCUCAUAAAUCUAAAUGCAGAGAUAACAUGAAGGCUCAAGAUGUUAUAUAACCUAAGACAUCACAUCCGAAAUGAAAACUAUAAUCUAUAAAUCCUUUAUAUUUCCAAAUGGUAAAUGUCUUUCCAUUGAUUAAAAAGCUAGUAUUGCACAUAUGUCAUCCCUUCUUCUAAAAUAACUAACAGCAAAAAUGCAAGUAAAAUAACAGUAGCAUAUGUUUUUCUCCUCUCUCAACACACCUGUCACCUUACAAAAUCACUAACUUCACCAAAUUUUAAGUAUAUAUAUAUAUAUAUUGACAAAAUCACGCCUGUCAAAAAAGGGAAUUCGUCUAUGAAUGAAAGUAUUAAGCGCAUACUAAGAGCGGAACGCCCUGAAAGACAAAAACCCGCUCAAACUCCUAGAAGCACAGUGGAUCAAGCAACUAAAAUCCACGAGCGACUCACCGAAUCCUUCACUCAUAGUGAAAGGGGAAUACUGGUACAGAAAGUGUAAUCAAUUCGGAAAAUAAGAGCUAUAAAAGCAAAGUCUCAAGUUUAAGCAAAAGAAAAAGCAGAAAAGAGAACAAGAUAGCGAAUACAAAAUUCUGAGACCUGCCCUCGCUCUCUCUCUCUCUUUUUCUCUCAAACAGUAAA